ensembl:lncRNA
CUACAGCCCGUGCUCCUCCCAUUGAUGUGGGUGCACGCAGACUUUGCAGGGUCCAAGCUCUGCAUUUUAGUACUCAUUUUGAAUGAGUUUUCUUUAAAUCACGUUUAUUUUCGAUGUUGGCUUUCUCGGGACCGCAUUCAGGAUCUGAGCUUUCUGCAGGAGCAUCUUUGCCAAGAAACUCUUUCAGGAGAUAAUUUAAGGAAAAUGAGCACCAAAGAAUGGAAAUUACAGGAUUGAAUUCGCUUAAUUCAAAUGGAAAAAGUCUUCAUGGUUUCUACCCAGCAGUCAGAAUCCAAGACAACUCCUCAUUUUGUUGAAGAAUUGUCCAGAAAUGAAGAAGACUUUCCUGUCAGAGGGAGAUUUCUCUGCCAUGGAUCUCAUCUGGGUUCUGGAAACUACUGUUCCCCUGAGAAAAUGAAGGGAAUAUGGACCUCUCCAGGAGUCAAAUUUCUGUCUUUUGCAUACCUGCACUGAUUGGGCUUCCAAGGUGGGAGAUUUCUUACCUUCUCCUUUGGAUAGUAACAGCAGAGCAUUUGUUUGGUCCACCUUGCCCAGGGAGGAGGCUACCAUCAGCACUAGUGGGCAUGCAGGUUCAGAGAGAUGGGCAGGAUCUGCAUGAGCCUUGAACCAAGACUGCUGAACACAAUGUCAGUAGGUGUUUUGCUUGACUUUACACUCCAUGUUUGGGCAUGUUUGAAAGCAGGCAAGGCAGUUGACUGAAUGCAUUCAGAUCUCCAGCCCAGAGGAGAUGACAAUUUAAUUUUGAAUCACAGAAUCACAGAGUAACACAGAAUCACAGAACUGCAGCGGUUGGAAGGGACCUCAUGAAAACGAAUCCAGCUCCCCUGCUAAAGCAGGUACCCUACAGCACGUUGCAUAGGUAGGUGUCCAGAUGGAUCUUGAAUAUUCCCAUAGAAAGAGACCCCACAACCUCUCUGAGCAGCCUGUUCCCCUUACUGUAAAGAAGUUCUUCUGCAAGUUGGUACAGAACUUCCUAUGUUCAAGUUUUAGGUAAUUGUUCCUUGUCCUGUUGUUACACACCACUGAGAAUAGACUGGCCCCAUCCAUUUGCCUUUGACCUCCCUUUAGAUAUUUAUAAACAUUUAUCAGAUCUCUCCUCAGUCAUUUCACCAGGUGAACAGACCCAGGUUACUCAGACUUUCCUCAUAUGUGAGAUGGUCCAAGUCCUUUACCAUCUUUGUGGCCCUCCACCAGUCUCCUUCUAGGAGAUCGCUGUGUUUUUUGAACUGAGGAGCCCAGAACUGGACACAGUACUCCAGAUGUGGCAUCAUCAGGGCAGAGUAGAGGGGGAGGAUCACUUCUGUUGACCUGCUGGCCAUGCUGAUGACCAGCAGGAUGAGCUAAAAAAAAUAGGAGAUGAGGUUGCCCAUAGAUGCAACCCUCUUGGAGCUUCUCUAAAACAAGCCCAUCUGUUUGCUCAUAUUUACCCUGUCUGGAUGAUGCUACAGACUUUUUUGCAGCUAUCAUUUCCCAGUGUUGUUGAAUUCAGGGUGGAAAUAGUGGUGAGAACAUUUUCCUGGGACUCUUCCUCCCCUCUGAACUGAAAUGGAGCCCACCCCUGGCAAGAGAUGGGCAGGUGGAAGACAGCGUAAGUGUUGUGUGGAAAGGGACACUGACCUGCUCUGUCGUCUCUGAUGAAUUACUUCCACAAAGCAGCAACGUGGUUAUCUUUAACAAGAACUUUGUCCAGCACAGCGAGGCUUUGCUUCAGCUUCGCCACUGUGGAAUACUCUCAUAACUUUAAUUCAUAUCAGGGGUCGAUUGUGAGUUUAAAUAUAUGCAAUGCACUUUUAAGUCUUGUGCAAACAAAGACCAGACAGGGACUGGGACAAACUGAUGCAUGAGCAACCAUGUUGUUCCUUCUCCAGUCCAAGAACUGGAUUCUUUCACAAAAUCCUCUGUGUGGCAGUGAUAACAAGACAAAUAUUUGACAUAGCUGUAAGAUAACACUCUGACACACUAGUAAACACAAGUGAAUUAGUGGUUAUGAGAGAGACCCCAUGACACAGUUGCUUGCAGUAAGUUGGAUGCCAUCUCUUAGAAGACUUCUUGCAACCUGUUCUUAUCGGUUUUUGGUACAGAUUAAUGGGGAGUCUUCCAGUAGGAUUUGGGUUACUGUCUGGCAUAGACACUUUUGAAAAUCUUACCUUAUCUCUAUGUAAUGACUAUGUAAUUCAUGCAGUGUGUUGAAGGUACACUUGAAAAAGUAGGUCUGGAUCGUAAUAUCCCUCCCUGCAUCCUUCUUUCCCAUCAGGCCAAAAUGGCACACCUCUGUGUGUGCUGGAUUACAAUUUAUGCUGAAAAUGUUCCACAAAGGUCAUAGCAGCUAUCUGAGGAACAAGCAGAGCUGUGCACCCUGCCCUGUGCUCAUGUAGAUUACCAGAGGUAGCAAUAAGGCCAGGGACUGUGUGCAGUAAGGAAAACUAGAGAAACUUGGAAACUGCGCAGGCUUUAGAUUGUAGAGUGUUACCAAGGGCUCAGAUGGGAGAGUUUACCAGAAGAAGUGCAAUUUAGAAAUUGAAACAGAUGGAAUUUCAGUAUCCUUUGCAAAUUGGCGUAUCAGACUCCUACAAUAGCUUGCAGAAUCCUUGUCCCUCCCAGUGCAUAGCUGGUUCUUACUCCCUGAACUUGAUUUGUUAACAUCUGAUGUCGAAGGGUCUGUUUCUUAUUUUUGUUGAGUUAUACCUUAAAUGUGUCCUUUUUGGCUACUUAUGUUCUCAUUUCUGCAAAGCGGCAGCCAAGCAGGGGCCCAAGAGCUCAUUCCUGGCCUUCAGAUUUAUUCCCAUCGCUUUGAUGGGUUGAGUCUGGUGCUGCCUGUAUUGCAGAGCACCUGGAUGGGGCGAUCACAGGCAUUCACUGGCACUGUGAUCUCAGCUGUGGAAACAAUUCUGCUGGCAGCAGAAGCUCAGUUUCACUGGGGAGGGGCCCAUAUUUCUUGUUUGAAGUGUGUGAAGCCUCAUCACAGUUCUGUUAUCAGACCCACUGGAAUUUUUUCCUUUCCUCUCUUCUUGGUCCACCUUCUCUCAUUCCUCUAAAUCUUACUUUACUUCUGCUUCUUCUCAAAGUCCCUAAUGUUACUUUUCUGGCUCUUUUUUUCUGUAAUCUCUCCCUUCAUUUUUUCUUCACCCAUUAGCUCUUCCUUCACAAUGCUCCUCUACUGCCUCCUCCAUUUUCUCUGCCUCUCUUGUUCACUUUCCAGGUGCCUCUCAUUCUUCUCCCCAUGUCCUCACUUUCAUUUCUUCUCCAGAAGCUCUCUGAAUUGCUGCAGCUAUGGGGUAUACCCCUUGGAAAGAUAGCCCUGUCUGAGUUAGAGGUGCUGUGAGCUGCAGGUCUGUUGCUGAUGUUAGUAUUUUUUUUGACAAGUGACACAGGUGACACAAGUGACACAGGGGGCCCAUGGAGCCAAGUAGCGUAGCUGGGCAGUAGAAGGCAGCUUAUGCCACAAAAGACAUCACUUGCUCCAUGGACCAAAAGAGAUUACAGCCCCAUUCCGACACAUAAACCAUUGAGGUUUACUGAAAAUAAGGAUUGAUUUGCUGGGCUAUUUAGAGGCAUUAAGAUGCAGAUAUAUAUUUUCUCCCCAGUCUGAUGUCAUUUUGCAUGUUAACUGCCUAAUUCCUUUUAGCCUAUUGAUUUUACUGGUUUAUAAGAAUGACACUUGUGUAGAAACUGUGGAGAACUUUGCUCAGGGUGACCAGUGAAGACUGUCAGUUUCUCUCAGUCGUCUUAUGGGGGGACUGAAGGCUCAGCACAGUUUAAGAGGAGAAAAAAUAGGGAGAGAAAGAACAAUGGCACUUCAUAGACCAUACUCCUUAGGUUGUAUCUGACUCUGGCUAAAUGACCUGGACUGAAAAAUGUUUUCCUGAGGCUCAGCUCAGCUGACAUCUGCAGCAUGGUCCUCAUAUUUUGUGAUAGUCGAGAGUGGUAUUCAUGAAAUUCUGUGUCAACUUCUUUAGCAUAUUAAGAUUGAAGAAUGCUAUGAAGUAAGCAUGAAUAUCAUUAUUCAAUUUCUCUUCCUUCUAGUAACUCUGAUUUACUUCAGAUUUUACGUGAUCUCCCAAUUAUCAGAGUUUGAUGUGCCACAGGUGUUUCUAUAAGCAUACUGUUGUAUUGCUUUUCGUUCCUUGGAGAACAGUUGAUGCUUUGCCAAUGUCUGAAUGGACCUGCUAACUCUGAGAGCAAAGAAGUGGUUAAUUUGAUAAUAUUUAACUUGCCAAACCAUUCAUAUGCAGAGGUAACGUGCUCAGGAGUUGAACAGGGCAGUGCGAUCUCCCUUAGCUAUCAUUUCAGGAUGCCUGCAGAAUCAGGAAGGCCGUGUAUCAGCUUACACUCAACUUGGUAAUCUUGCAUGGGGCCUGUUUGUGUCUCUUGUGCUGAAGGCUGAAUGUAAAAUGAACAUUGUUAGCCAAGAAAGCAAAUAAAGGGAACUAUUUCCCAAGGCAUUUUACUCUGUUUAUUUAACGCCUCUGAACAAACCCCUUUCCACAUCCUCUGAACCUACUGGCAACUUCAGAUAGCUCCAUUUCCUGCUGGGUGAGUUUUUUCUAAAAUGUUUAUUCAGCUCCAGGAAAUGAUGAUUUCCUGAAUAUUCUGAAACUUCAUAUUUUUGUUGUAUCCCUGUUUAUUUAAUAGUCUUACUUAUUGUGUGAGUGUGCAAAGCACAACAACAUCCCUUGCCAUGUAACUGUGGAAGGAGUGGAACUUGAUGUAGUACAUCAAAAACCAGUUUAAGUGAAACUAGAUCUGUUUUUGCCAAUUUAUACACUAGUGUAUUUCCAUUAGCUUGAGUAGUUACUCCUUAUUUACACUGACCUUAAUGAGUUCGGAAGUAGGCUUUUAAAUUUCUCCUACUCCUUAAGAAAAAGUGCCUAAAAAUUCAAACUAGUGAAGGAGAAUUAAUUAGCCCAAAGCUCAACAUUUUAUAAUUCACAGCUUACAUUAAUGUCUGCUAGUUUUCUUUAUGCAGGAAACCAAUAGAAGGCACCAAAUGUUUUCGUCGCCCUCCACUGGGACUAAAAUUGAGAAAUUCUUAUUUUCUGAGGUCAAAGCUAACCUGUAUCCAGCACCCCAUCCCAACAUGGGUUUCACUAAAGAGAUUGAAACCUGUACACAGCCUUAAUGAAAAGGCCAUAAUAUUUUAUGUGAACCAGGAGUAACUAUGCUGAAAUGAGAAGUGCUUCACUAAGGUAAAUCAAGUGGGAUUGGUCCCAAAAGAAAUUCAGGAAUUACAUAGCUUUGCCAUUAACCUUGAACUGAGCCAAGUGUGUCUUCCAUGCUUUCUCCUUCUUUCUUGUCUACUUUUUGUUAACCUGCAUGGUCAGCUAUGACUUUUUUUUUUUUUCUUUUCUUUUUACAGGCAGAAAAGGUAAUUUAUGUUUCUUCUGAGCCUCAAGAGACAAUAUGGGCAUGCUGCGUUACCAUGCCCUAAAUGAAAUCUUAGAGUACCUAAGUAAAACUCACUCCACCCUUACCUGGAAGUUCCACUCAUGGAAACCACAUCCUUUCAUUGCCACCCACGUCUCCAUUCGGAAAGGACUUUGAAGGAGGAAGACUGAAGAUUAGAUCAUUCUUUUAUUAAGCAUCCUUUUGUCUGUUUUGCUCCAGAAACCAUGCUCUUCCUCUCCUAUGAGUCAUUUGUUGUUACUCUUACAACGUCUGUGGUAGGAAGGCUGGGUGCUUUCCCCCAAUUUAAAAUGUUCUUUUUAGAGUCUCUUCUCUUCUCUUCUCUUCUCUUCUCUUCUCUUCUCUUCUCUUCUCUUCUCUUCUCUUCUCUUCUCUUCUCUUCUCUUCUCUUCUCUUCUCUUCUCUUCUCUUCUCUUCUCUUCUCUUCUCUUCUCUUCUCUUCUCUUCUCUUCUCUUCUCUUCUCUUCUCUUCUCUUCUCUUCUCUUCUCUUCUCUUCUCUUCUCUUCUCUUCUCUUCUCUUUUUCUUCCCUUCCCUUCCCUUCCACUCCCUUCCCUUCUCCCUUUCCUCUCCUCUCCCUUUCUCCUCCCCUCCCCUCCCCUCUCCUCCCUUCCUUCCUUCCAUGUCCCUUCUUUGUUUUUUGUUAUGCAUUUCAUAUUCAUUCACUAUUUUUACCCAAUUCAGACAGAGCCAUGCUACAUUGUGGACUAUUGCCAAAAAUUCUGCCAGUGACAAAGAUUGAAGCCUUCAUACGAACUGGAAGGAGUCUGUUCUUGGUCCACCCCAUGUGAAGCAACACUGUGCCCAUGCAUCUCUAUCUGAGAUGAAUAUUCUUUCUUUUGAUGCCAAGUAUUUGAUGUCCACCUACUGAGCUGAGUAAUCUCUGAGGAUGCCAUUGUUGCCAUGUUACCUCCUUCCUGAGUUCCUGUUGUGUAACUUUCCCACCAAUGUCUAUACUGGAUGGUGAAAAGAAGAAUGAAGACGAGACAGCCAGUGCUGUCAGCUUUUCUUCCACCUGAUUCAGGCUUUGGCCAUGCCCUGUAUCUGCUCCAGAAAGCCAAGGCUUCAGAUGAAGGAUGGAAGAAGGAAAGCAGGAGGCUGGGAAAUGAUUUUGGUCAUGUCCACGCUGGCAGGAAAAGCAACACUGUGGGCAGAAACUUUAAAUAUACAUGGCAAAAACCAGCAGACCAGGGCCUGAAUCUUGAUAUGUUUGCUACAUGAUACUACCACAAUUCCUUAAGGAGUAACAUGAUAGUUUUCUGCAGAGGAAUGUUUUCUGAACAUGGCCAAAAUAUGGCAUUUGGAAAAGUGAGCUGCACAUCAUUUCUCCAAAUGAGAAUGCAAAUAGCGGAGAAUGCAAAUAGCUGGCCUUUUAAAGCCUCCCUGAAAAUUUCAUAGACAACUCAGAUCAAUAUGAUUUAAAGGUAAAGAUUUGCAUUUGCAUGACUCGAGGUGGAAAAAUGAGCUAUAGAUCAUGAGCUCAAACUCUUCUAACACAAGAUUUCUUUAGUCUGAUAAAACAAGAUAUGCUGUUUUGAGAGCAAUACUGUCUGAGGGCAGAGCGGGAGUUUAUUCACAAGAAAAAAUAAUGCAGAGAUUGUGGUGACUGCAUGUUGACUUGGUUCCUGCAUUUUACAACCAUUGCUUUAAGAGUAAGUGAUAGAUUUGCAUUUUUAAAACACUAAUUCCCAUCUGCCCCAUGUGUCUUUGUUGAACUCAGUUGACAAAUAUCUGCAGAGGAUGUUAGGAGUGAUGUUACACAAAAUAUCAUACUGAAAAAAAAUUAAUAAUAAAAAUGAAUAACAGUCUCCUUACGUGUUCUCUCCCUUGCUCUUUCCUCAUUGCCAUUGUGCUUCUCUUUCUGUUUGGAUGUGUGGCCACUGGGUGAUUUUCAAAGGCUCCAAAGCCUGGGCCAUUGGUG